ensembl:lncRNA
CUUACAUCUCACCUCUGAUACUGGAUUUGCUGUUUGUUUUUUGUUUUUACAAGUUAUGAUUUUCAUAUUACACUGGCUUCAAGUAUACCCUGCCUCUUCUGGUACAUUGUGAUUAGUGAUUAAUGUUGGAGAAUAUAUACCUAGAUUACACCUCACUAUCAGCUUCAACGUUAUGUAAUUAAUACUGCUUACAGGUUCUGUGUAGCUCCUUUCAACAAGCUCUGAUAACUCAUAGAAUUCUUGACAAAUUUACCAGCAUGGCAUGCAUCACUACAAGUUAGGGGCUGAUCUGCUGGGAAGAAGCUCUACGGAGAAGGACCUGGGAUUUCUGGUGGGCAGCAGUGUGCCUUGUGGCCAAGAAGUCCAAUGGUAGCCUGAGGUGCAUUCAAAAGAGUAUGGCCAGUAGGUUGAGGGAGGUGAUCCUCCCCCUCCACUCUGCCCUGGUGAAGACAUCUGGAGCACUGUGUCCGGUUCUGGGCUUCACAGUUCAAGACAGAGAACUUCUAGAGAGGGUCCAGCAGAGGGCCACAAAGAUGGGGGUCUGGAGCAUCUCUCUCAUAAGGAAAGGCUGAAAGACCUGGGACUGUUUUGCCUAGAGAAGAUUGAGAGGAGAUCUUAUUAAUGUGUAUAUGAAGGCUACUCCAAAACCAGUGUUCCUCAUUUUAUGACAGUCCACAAUAUCAGAGGCAGAUUUUGGUGGUAUGGCUGAAGAGGCUGAACCUUCCCACCAAUAUUCCAUAACAUUUUGUUAUUGUGCAACAGAUGGCAGCGGAAGAGCGGUUUGACAACAUGGUGUCUGACAUGUAAGUGGGUAUGAAGCAAAGGUGAGUCAUUUAAUUCCUCCACACAGAAAUAAUUGCACCCAUUGAUAUUCACUGAAGUUUGCUGUACAUAUAUGGAGACCAAACAGUGGAUGUGAGCACAGCGAGGUGAUGACUGGCACAUUUCAGCAGCUGUGACAGCAGCAUGAAUUAUAAGCCAUAUUCCAGACAGCCAUAAAAAUUUUUACAAAUAUGACAUGCAGGUCCUCAUUCAUCACUGGUGAAAAUGAUGGUGGUUACUAUUUUGAAAAAUAAUGUUUUGUAGGUGAGAAUUUUCUUUCUAAAAUAGUGUUAUUGUACUCUUUGUAUCUGUUGCAGUUUCCAUGGAAAUAAAUAGGAGGCAUUACUUUCAGAGCAACCUACAUAAAGACCUAAUGACUGGGAGUCAAGUGGAUGGGAACAGGCUCUUUUCAGCAGUGCCCAGUGACAGAACAAGGGGCAAUGGACAGAAAUGGGAUCAUAGUAUGUUCCAUAAGAACGUGAGGAAGAACUUUACUGUGAGGUUGGCAGAGUACUGGAACAGGCUGCCCAGAGAGAUUGUGGAGGUACCUUCUCUGGAGAUAUUCAGAACCUAUUGGACACAUUUCUGUGUAAUGUACUCUAGGGAGUCAGCUUUAGCAACAGGGUUGGGCUAGAUUAUCUCCGUCUUCCAAACCCUAUGAUUCUGUGAUUCUAUACUAGGCAGUAUAGCUUGCUUACUGUAUCCAAGAGAUUAUAAAAUCCAAGAGAUUAUAAAAUUGUCUAACAAGGAUAUGAAAACUAAAUUGUAAAACACUAGAAGCGUAACCAACUAAACUCUUGAUGCUAAUGUGUGCAUUGGGAAGUACAGAAAGCUCAGAUACUUGAUGUGGGAGAGGCAGAGGGGGAAACUACAAUUUUUAAGACCUAUCAGUUUGGUUGUUAGAGUCAAGUCUGGACACAGGUCAGCUGGGCAAAAGCUGAUUUCUUUUAUAUUGUCAGCAGUAUGUGUAUUUUCCUCAUCUGGUUUCCAGCAGUUAGAAAGAAUAAAGCAGAUAUCUGCAGUCUUUCAGUGUAUCACGAUAUAUUUGUGCCUUCAAAUUUUAAUUUUCCUAUUUAUCUUAAACACCUAUUUUAGAGAGGGUUAGAUUGCAUGCCGGAACUGCCUAUCUCUUCAAGACUGGCUAAAACUACACAGCUAACUUUUGGGUGGCCACAGUUAGCUGAGUUAGCUGCAAUGAGUGAUUUUGUGACAAAUGGGAAGUUUAAACACUGAAAAGACAAGGAGAGAUAACACCAACCACAGUGUGAUUCAUUACCACCAAAUGGAAAAAGAUUUUGUAAGCUUUUCUAAUCUUUCUCAAAAUACUCUGUUAAAUGUUAUGCGCUAGUACACUUUUGCAGUGUGUGCUUUUCAAACAGAAGAUAACCCGACGUAAUUGUUAGAUGGUAUGAACAGCACUCUAAAUUUGAAUGUUUUUAGUGGCUUUCUUAUCUGACUAAGUACGUGAGGGAUGGCAAACAGGCAGUUGUUUCAAAGGCCAUCUUGGAUCAUUGGUGAGGAACCAGGCAGACCUGGACAUUCAAGAGGGACUAAAAUGUAGGAAGCGCAGAAACUGUCAAGACAAGUUAAAUAAUGUCAUAUGCUGCCUAGGGUAGUUCAGGGGAGGAAACACAGCUGCAAGUGUGUAAGAGGCUUUCCAAGAGUCUCAUAAUUGGUCAGAUACAUCUGAAAAUGCCGAAGAAGAAUGAGAAGACAAUGCUGAUGAGUAAUCCCACUUGGAUCCCCCUUGAGUCUUUCAUGGCACUGGCGCCAACAAAAAAUGUCAUGAUACCAUCAAGUAUCAUAAUUCUGCUGAAGAGAAUAGAGAAGAAAUAUGCCAGAAAGCUUCUAAUGGUGGCACAUUUUGAGUCAUCUAACACAACUGAUUAUGGUAUCAAGCAUACAAAGCGGUUAUUGGAAAAUAUGUCUGAAUGACUUGACUUAAUAAUUACAUUGUUAUGAAAGCUUCAUAAUGUGGCACUCUUCCUGCUGUCACAGCUGUUGCCUAUGCACAUACAACAUUCUGCACAAUAAAAUGAGCAUAUCUCUUAUCGUGUCAAAGCCGAAGACUUUUUUUGAUGUGACAUUACAGGAAAAACGACUUGAUAAAGCAGGACUCAAGUCAAAAGAGAAAAAGCAGUUAUAUGACUCUAUUUCCAGUUGUUACAAUGGUCUAACCUAGCUACUUUUUAAAUCAAAGAACAGGUGUGAUCAGGUGCCUAAAAGAAAGUUGGCUGCAUGCUAGGCAGCAGAUAAAACCAGAAAUAUCACACGUUAUCUGCUGGAUAAUUGACAUAGGGCAGUGGACAUUUCUUUGGUAUUGAAAUUAUUGUGGUGGGGGAGAGUUUGCUGCUACCUUUCCUCUUCGUCAGUAGAUCAAAUGGUGUUGGCACUACUUCUGCCUUACUUCCAGAUGUGUUUGUAUUGACAGAAAUAAAGUGGCUUAUAAUACAUGCUGAAAUUUUAAUUUCCAGCAGUAUAACCAAACUGCCCUUUUUUUCUCUUAGACCUGGUACAUUUCAGCAUGCUUUAGUCAAUCUUCGGACACAGCUGGUUGGUUGUUUUUUUCUUUAGUUGUCUGAACUUGCUUUAGAGAAGGUGCAAAGUUAGAUUCUGAUGCACCAUCAUGGCUUUGGCAGUUUUGUAGCUGGAGACAAGCCACAGUCCUGUUAGAGUGCAAAUGUAGCCUUCUGAUUCUGAUAGAGUUAGACAGUUUUGAUGGCAUGUUUCAUUUGUUGUACAAGGGGAGUACAAAUCUGAAGAGCUCAUAGGAGAGUUGAUAUCUUCUACAGCACAGACCCCGCUACACAGAUAACCUCAUCAUUUUCUUCUCUUUGCUUGUGUAACCAGUAAUGUCUGACAGAAGUGUGAGGAUAUCUUUCUUUUUCCAGUAUGCUGUCUUGGUCAGUAUUAACCAACAGUCUCAAUAGUAUCAACAUGUCUUGUGCUCACAACUGCCUGUUCUUCCAAUACACAGAUACCUGGUGCUGAUAUAAGUCCUGUUUGGAUUGGCACAUGAAGGAAAUUACAACAUAAAGUGCUAUCAAUCCAUGCAUUUCUUCUAUAAGUCUCACUUUAUUUUUCAGGUUCUGGGAGUAGUCAAGAGAGUUUUUACGUCUACAAAUCUAAGCUACUGUUUCAUCUGUUCAUAAUUUUUUUACCUGCAAAGUACGGUCCACCUCCAGAUGGCCCCAGACCUCAUCUAAAAUAAAUAAAUAAAUAAAUUUGUAUGUGCUUUUUUAGGUGUUUGUUGAUGUGAUCUGCUCUUGGAUGUCUGGGAAUGCUGCCUUUGUUGAACAGUGCUUCCACACAUCCCAAACUGCAGCACUUCUUUCCCUGUAACAAGUAGGUAAUCAACAACCACUGCCACAAAUAUGGUGAUAGUCUGCUGGUUACUAUACGUGGAGGCAUUAAAGCCAAACACUAUACGUGAAGGCUAAAGCUAAAGAGUGGUAGGGUUGCUGUUUGAAACUGGAGUUUCAAUUCCCUGUGAGAAUUUGUUGGUUGAUACUUCAUAUCUUUGUAACUUUCAGGAAGUUCUGAAAUCUUUAUUUCACUAUGAAAAUCCCAGCAAUCUGUUACAGGUGGCAUUACUUAAGUAGGUGGUUUAGAUCAGGUGAUCUCCAGGAGACCCUUCCAGCCUCAAUCAUUCUUUGAUGCUCUGAUUUUUUUCUUGCCAAUUAGCUCUCUAGAAGUGUACUGGGAGUCAGCAGAUGUCACGACCCAAUCAUAUCAGAGUUGUGGAGGUUUUGAAAUUCCCUCAGGUUAAAUUAAGGUGAAACAACAACAAACAACCAGUUAAAUGCUUAUUUAUUUCCCACUACGAUAUUUAGCACAAGAUGCUGAGUAUAUACAUAUAUAUAUAUAUGUACAUACCUGUACCUUACUGGCAAUAAGCUAUGAUUGUGUUACUUCUAAUAUAACUUGACAAGAGAAAAAUAAAAAGGGAGAGGUGGGGGGAAGGAUUACAAUGACUCUUUCCUCCAAUUGAGUUGGGAGUCGUGGAGACCCUGUUACUUAUCACGUAGGUCAUGUAGGUAUCUCUUGCAACUGGGAAAUUUGAGUGUGGGAAGGGGAAAGGAGUAGGGACAUCCAUCCUCCAAUGAACUCUCCACCCUCUUUGGCAAGCACUUUUGGUUCCCAAAUUCCAGCUGCAAACUAAGCGCACAGUUUCUGUUCCUUCUUUGUUGUUAAGCAGUGCGCCAGUGGUUGAGACAUUGAAACUUUUUUAGACUGUCCACAGGACUUUACAGUGGGAUAAGUUCUGUUAAGCUUUGUUAAUUCAUUGUGACACUUACUCAUUGUCGAUAUCAUCAGCACAAUUGCCAGGCAGAUCUCCCACUGGGGAGAAGUCUCUUCCUUCCUAAUAUAGCUGCUGCAGGGGUAUAAGAUCUGGCCGACCAGUUUACAUCUACAUAUGAGACAUGCAGAGAAACAGUUGCAAAAUGUCUAUCUUCCCUCAACAAGUGAGAAGAGGAGCUCUAAGCAUUAAAGAGGGUCUGUAUUAUCACAGGAAGCAACCAUCAACAUUGUCCAGAGAUUUCGAUAAAAAGCCCAUGCUUCUGCACAAAGAUUGUCUCAUGAAUCAGAGGAUCAUGUCCUUUGCAUGUAUGAUAUGGUUCUUAGAACAGAGUUAUAUAGGUAAGGCAUUUGCAUGGUGGGAAACUUCUUUAAUGGCAAAAGUCUCUGUAUGCCAGCAGAUACCAGGCUUCAAGAGUUUUGUUAAAUUAAUAAGCUUUAACAUUGUUGAAAGAUUCUGAAAAGUAAUUGUAAUCAUAACAUAAUUUUGGUUUAAAUUUUCAAGCCUUCUAUUUUCUACUGUAUUCAUGACAGAACUAAAUUGGCAACAAAUCAAAUAAAUGAUGUUAGAAUUAUUAAUAUAAAUCUAGAAACCUGACCAAAUUACACUGAACAUUCUGGUGCUGAGUUAGUUUUCUCACCCAUCAGCAAAAAGAAAACAGGAUUUGACUAUAGGGAUAAGAAGAAAAAAAGACAACGAGGAGAGGAACCACACAUCAUGAGAUGCCCAACUGGACCUUUCUUUAAGGAGACUGAGAGCUAUUCUAAGAGCUAUUUACAGACCUCUACUCUGGUUUCUUAAUAAAGACACUGACCACCUUGCUUUCCAGUUCCUGCCCAGUUUGGGAUUAUUAAAUCACAAAAGUAUGUCCUUCUCCUGCUGGUAGCCACAGAGGUCUUCUCCUGGUCACUUCCCUGCCUCAAGCUGCUGCUCUAGUGGCUGCUCUAGCCAGCUGUCCUACUCCUGCUCCUGUCUCUUGCUAUAGCAGCUCCAGUACUGCUGCCUCAUCCGGAUGACAGUUGUCACUCUUCUAUCAGUGUCUCCCACUUCAGCAAAGAGUAUGUGGCUGUGCAUGUGCACAUUUGUACUCAAGUACACUCCUGCUUUUUCAACUUGGAUUCUCAUCUAGCAGUAGCCCCUUAAAGUCUGCUAUGCAUUUUCUUUUGACUUCUGUGCUUUACUUCUGUAAAACCUACUGAGAUCUUUUACUCUCAGCAUUCUUAACUCAAGCACUUAAUCCAUACCAUUACAUGGUUAUCUGUUUCCUCCAUUAUGUGGAUGGUUACUCUACUCUACUCAAGUAGAAAGCCUUCUGAAUGAAUAAACGCUUACGUGCAAAUUGAACUUGUACUUCUGUACCUUGUUCCCUUCUACCUGUCUUAUUCUCUCCACCAAAUAUCAAUGGAGAGCUCUUCAUCUCAGAACUUCCAUCUCCCACACAGGAGCCAGGGAGCUGCUCUCUCGAUCACGUCCUGGUGCCAAAGCCCGUAUCUGUUUGACAGAACAAAAAGUGGCCUUGUCAUAUGCUAGGGAUGUAUUCUCUGUUCUCUUCAGUACACUGCUAAUUGUUAAAAACCUUGAAGAAAAUUGUAAUAAUUCAGAUGUAACUUUUGCUCAUAUUACUGUUCUCAGAGAGAGCAAAAAAGUAAAAUUUCAAGGGAAAGGGGUGUUUGGGAUAAAAAACUGCGAUUUUCAAGACCCAUGUUUCUGAAAAAUGUAUUUCUUCUGUCAGAGUUCUAGGACUUAAGAUGAAAGAUCAUUACUAACUAGGAUAAGUGCCUUUUUAUAUAAAGAAAUGUUUUUAGAGUAACUAGAAGAUAACAGCAAAAAUAAAACAGGAGUGUGCCUAUUGACUUAAGUUGUAUAGCUUGCUCAUGGGAAAGGGCUCCUUUAGUCUGUGUACCCACAUUUCAUGUUUCUAUAGCAGAAUUGGAGAACAGAAAGGAAGAAACUAGGAGCAGCAGAAGAGUCAAGAACCCUACAGUCAUGUCUUGGGUUGAAAGGGACCUUAAAACCCAUCUAGUUCCAACCCAUUGCUAUGGGCAGGGUUGCCUCCCUCUAGAUCAGGUUGCCCAGGGUCUAGUUCAAUCUGGCCUUGAGCACCUCCAAGGAUGAGUCAUCCUCAGCUUCUCUGGGUAGCCUGUGCCAGUGCCUCACCACCCUUACCAUGAAGGAUUUCUUCCUUAUAUCUAAUCUAAACAUACCCUUUCAGUGUAAAACCAUUACCCCUUGUCCUAUCACUACAUCAUGGUUGUCAGGGUAUUCAUAAUUGUGGAAAAGCCUCUUCCUGAAUUCAUUUCUCCAUAUGCUCCAUCCACAAUAUACAGGAAGGCGCUUGAUUUAAGCUUCGGGAAGGGAGGCUGGUAUGCCAGUGCUAGGGGUGAAAUAAAGCAUGGUGUACAGGAUCAACACUACCCCUGUCUGGUUCUUCUUAAAAAGUCUAUAUUUAUCCUAGCUUCUCUCAAUUUUACCAAGUUCAUUGGCUCCUAUAAAAUGCUGAGUCUGCAAGAGACACUGCCAAGUUCCAGUUACUUUUAUAGUCUGAGAUGAGUUUGGUUGUUAUUUGUUAUUAGUUUUUGUUUUUGUUUUUGUUUUUAAUUUGUAGGCCUUUUCUCAUUAACCUUCUUGUUUUUCAUUGCACAGUCUAGAUGGGGGUUUCCACUGAGAGAGUAUACGAAGAUGAAAGAGGAAGAAUUGCUAUGGGAAGAGGUUUUAUUAAAAAUACAGCUGAAGGUUUUUUCAUCAUAUCUUUGAGUAAACAUUAGUGGGAUAGUGACAGAAGAUGUGUCACUGGAUUUAUUUACUGUAAGACAGUUCUGCCGAGUAAAGUACCAUAUGAAAGCAGCAUGUGUUUUUUUAAUAUAAUGUAAAGAGUAACUUAUUACAGUGACUUUAUUUUCUUCUUGUUUGAUGGAUUGUUGCCAUUUAUUACCACCGAGUAAUGAAACCUAUACUGUGUUUUACACGACAGUAGAAUGUCUUGGGCAGCAUUAAUCAGCCUCACGAAGUGUUCAAGAGAAAUAAUGAAAGAAAGAACUGGCAUGCAAGGCAAGUGCCUUCCAGUUUGUCUCCUGCAACCUUCCUUCCUCUGAAACAUUCAUCAUCUUCCUCUUAGUUUGCCAGGAUCUAAAAUCAGGCAGAUAUUUUCUUAUUAAUAUUGAGGCAGGGCACUGAGAGCUGCCAUCACAUCUUUCUUUAGCUGAGAGAAAAUUACCUCAGCUUAAGCUCAACUACCUCCUGCUAUUUGUAAGUCUAGGGCUUCACAAGCUGUGUUACUUGGCUUGUAUGCUAUGUGCACCUUGAUGAUUCUCCAUGUUUUAUCAUAACUGAUUGUAUACAUAUUCUUAAAGCACGAGAGAGUCUGCAGGCUGGGAUAGAAUCUCAGUCCCAAAUGGAUCAGAAUCUAGGAGGUAAGAGGUGUGCUAGUGUAUCUAAAGGGAUAAGAGACAGCCAAGAAAUACAAGAUACAAAAACAAGGCUACCAAGGAGCUUAGUUCAUGGAGCAAUGAAUGUAUUUGCUGAGGACUUCACAUCCUUUUGGAUAGAAUAUCCGGGGACUGGUUGUCAGCAUACAAGGUGAAUCAAAAUGUGAAUCCUUUCAAGAGUUUGCAUAGAAACCAUGGAAUCUAAUGAGUCAGAAAUAGAGAUGCUCAAGGCACUCCAUUUUGUACUGUCAGAUCUUUUCUUUCUCAGAACUCUCAAGAGUUUUUGCUGUCUAUCAGUUGAACAUAAGGAACGUUUUUACUGCUAAGGAACAGGUAAAGCAAUUUGCUGGCAGAGGCUUUGCCUCUUGUUCUGUCCAGAUAAUGCCAGGGCAUAGAUCACUCUGAGCAAUUACAAUCAUCAGUAACAGAAUUUAGAAAUCACACUUUUGCUGUUAAACACUUGCCAUUACAUUAUAUGACUUCUACAAUGCAGAUCUUUCAUUUGGUACAACAUCAACAUCUUCCUCCUUAGCUAUGACUCCUGCCCUUUCCUCGUCAGUCUGGUUCACCGAAUUGCUAGUUGAUGAACAAAUACUCUGUGCAUGACAACAGAAGGUUAUGCUUUACUGUGUGUUCAUUACAGCCCUUAACCAGUAGCUGAAAGCGUAGUAAAAAAGAUAUCAAGAAAUUUUGUUUUCUGACGGACAUUUUUAUUUUGAUGGGGG